AGCGAACGCUGGCGGCAGGCCUAACACAUGCAAGUCGAACGAACUCUUCGGAGUUAGUGGCGGACGGGUGAGUAACACGUGGGAACGUGCCUUUUGGUUCGGAAUAACUCAGGGAAACUUGUGCUAAUACCGAAUGUGCCCUUCGGGGGAAAGAUUUAUCGCCAUUAGAGCGGCCCGCGUCUGAUUAGCUAGUUGGUGAGGUAACGGCUCACCAAGGCGACGAUCAGUAGCUGGUCUGAGAGGAUGACCAGCCACACUGGGACUGAGACACGGCCCAGACUCUUACGGGAGGCAGCAGUGGGGAAUCUUGCGCAAUGGGCGAAAGCCUGACGCAGCCAUGACGCGUGAAUGAUGAAGGUCUUAGGAUUGUAAAAUUCUUUCACCGGGGACGAUAAUGACGGUACCCGGAGAAGAAGCCCCGGCUAACUUCGUG
rnacentral:rRNA from 1 species